AACGAACGCUGGCGGCGUGUCUUAAGCAUGCAAGUCGUGCGGCAAGGGGUAGCAAUACCCCCUAGAGCGGCGGACUGGUGAGUAACGCGUGGGUGAUCUGCCCUUUGGGAUGGGGGAUAGCCAUUAGAAAUAGUGGGUAAUACCGAAUACGUUCUACGCACUGCGGUGCGUAGAGGAAAAGCGCUACGGCGCUGCCCGAGGAUGAGCCCGCGUCCCAUUAGCUAGUUGGUGAGGUAACGGCCCACCAAGGCGAUGAUGGGUAGGCGGCCUGAGAGGGUGUACGCCCACACUGGGACUGAGAUACGGCCCAGACUCCUACGGGUGGCAG
rnacentral:rRNA from 1 species